UACGUAGGGGGCAAGCGUUGUCCGGAUUUAUUGGGCGUAAAGAGCGUGUAGGCGGUUAGGUAGGUCCGUUGUGAAAACUCGAGGCUCAACCUCGAGACGCCGAUGGAAACCAUCUGACUAGAGUCCGGAAGAGGAGAGUGGAAUUCCUGGUGUAGCGGUGAAAUGCGCAGAUAUCAGGAGGAACACCUGCGGUGUAGACGGCUUUCUGGACCAUUGCUGACGCUGAGACACGAAAGCGUGGGUAGCAAACAGG
rnacentral:rRNA from 1 species